rnacentral:rRNA from 1 species
CCUACGUGAGGCAGCAGUGGGGAAUAUUGCACAAUGGGGGAAACCCUGAUACAGCGACGCCGCGUGAGUGAAGAAGUAAUUCGUUAUGUAAAGCUCUAUCAGCAGGGAAGAAAAUGACGGUACCUGAGUAAGAAGCCCCGGCUAACUACGUGCCAGCAGCCGCGGUAAUACGUAGGGGGCAAGCGUUAUCCGGAUUUACUGGGUGUAAAGGGAGCGUAGACGGCAGUGCAAGUCUGGAGGGAAAGGCGGGGGCUCAACCCCCGGACUGCUCUGGAAACUGGACGGCUGGAGUGCAGGAGAGGUAAGUGGAAUUCCUAGUGUAGCGGUGAAAUGCGUAGAUAUUAGGAGGAACACCAGUGGCGAAGGCGGCUUACUGGACUGUAACUGACGUUGAGGCUCGAAAGCGUGGGGAGCAAACAGGAUUAGAUACCCUAGUAGUC